rnacentral:lncRNA from 1 species
AUAGGGAUGUAGGUUUGCAUGUGUGUGUCUGUAUUAGUUUCCUUUUGCUGCUGGAACAAAUUACCACAAACUCAGUGGCUUAAAACAACACAAAGUUAUUAUCUUACGGUCCUGGAGGUCAGAAAUCCAAAAUGGUUUCACGGGGCUGAAAUCAAGGUGUUGGCAGGGCCCUGCUCCCUCCACAGGCUCUGAGGGAGAGUCUGAUUCCUUGCCUUUCCCGGCUUCUAGAGACCAAGUGCAUGGUCAGUUUCUACGUGUUCAAAGAGCGGUACCCCAUCUUCUGCUUCCGUCCUCACGUCUCCUCUUUGUGACUCUGACCUUCCUGCCUUUCUCUUAUAAGGGCCAUUGUGACUACAUUGAGCUCAUCUGAAUUAUCCAAGGUAACCUCCUCAUCUCAAGAGCCUUAGUUUAAUCAUGCCUGCCAAUUUCCUUCUGCCAUUUCAAGUAACAAAUUCGCAGGUUCUGGGGAUUAAGGCAUGAACAUCUUUGGAUCAUUCCUUCAGGAACAGGAUGUGCCCACCAUCACCUCUUCUCCCCUUCCCACUGGCUGGAAGGUAAAAUUAUGGCAGGAGCUGAAGCAGCCAUUUUAGAGCAGGAGGUGGAAUCACAUGCAGCAAGAUGGAAGAAAUCUGGCUCUCCAACGAGACAGAAGAAGCCUGGAUUUCCAAAACCACAGAACCAACCUCCCAGCCCUGAACAAUCUACUUUGAUAUUUAUUUACUUCUAUCCUGUUCUAAGCUCCAUUCCAUCUGGCUGGUCAACCUCUGACAUUUUACCACCAUGAUCCACUGUCAAAGUUUCCCCAGUCACUCUCCCUUACUGCAGCUUAUAUCACUCCCCCAUCUAACUCGCCUCCCCAUCCCAUUCUCAAUUCUCCACCACAGCCUGUUGCUAGACAAUCUGUGAUCUCCAACUCUGAAAAGAACCCAUAAAAAUAAAACAACAAAUGCUGACAAUGUUUCUUCAGC